rnacentral:rRNA from 1 species
GUCCACGCCCUAAACGAUGUCUACUUGCUGUUGGGGGUAACCUUAGUAGCGAAGCUAACGCGAGAAGUAGACCGCCUGGGGGAGUACGGUCGCAAGAUUAAAACUCAAAGGAAUUGACGGGGACCCGCACAAGCGGUGGAUGAUGUGGAUUAAUUCGAUGCAACGCGAAAAACCUUACCUGCUCUUGACAUGUACGGAAUGCUGAAGAGAUUCGGCAGUGCCUUCGGGAACCGUAACACAGGUGCUGCAUGGCUGUCGU